rnacentral:rRNA from 1 species
GGUAGCACAGAGGAGCUUGCUCCUCGGGUGACGAGUGGCGGACGGGUGAGUAAUGUCUGGGAAACUGCCCGAUGGAGGGGGAUAACUACUGGAAACGGUAGCUAAUACCGCAUAACGUCGCAAGACCAAAGUGGGGGACCUUCGGGCCUCACACCAUCGGAUGUGCCCAGAUGGGAUUAGCUUGUAGGCGGGGUAACGGCCCACCUAGGCGACGAUCCCUAGCUGGUCUGAGAGGAUGACCAGCCACACUGGAACUGAGACACGGUCCAGACUCCUACGGGAGGCAGCAGUGGGGAAUAUUGCACAAUGGGCGCAAGCCUGAUGCAGCCAUGCCGCGUGUAUGAAGAAGGCCUUCGGGUUGUAAAGUACUUUCAGCGGGGAGGAAGGUGUUGAGGUUAAUAACCUCAGCAAUUGACGUUACCCGCANAANAAGCACCGGCUAACUCCGUGCCAGCAGCCGCGGUAAUACGGAGGGUGCAAGCGUUAAUCGGAAUUACUGGGCGUANAGCGCACGCAGGCGGUCUGUUAAGUCAGAUGUGAAAUCCCCGGGCUUAACCUGGGAACUGCAUUUGAAACUGGCAGGCUUGAGUCUCGUAGAGGGGGGUAGAAUUCCAGGUGUAGCGGUGAAAUGCGUAGAGAUCUGGAGGA